rnacentral:rRNA from 1 species
ACCUAGUAGUACGGAAUAAUUGUUGGAAACGGCAACUAAUACCGUAUACGCCCUACGGGGGAAAAAUUUAUUGCUAUUAGAUGAGCCUAUAUUAGAUUAGCUAGUUGGUGGAGUAAUAGCCUACCAAGGCAAUGAUCUAUAGCUGAUCUGAGAGGAUGAUCAGCCACACUGGAACUGAGAUACGGUCCAGACUCCUACGGGAGGCAGCAGUGGGGAAUAUUGGACAAUGGGCGAAAGCCUGGUCCAGCCAUGCCGCAUGAGUGAAGAACGCCUUUGGGUUGUAAAGCUCUUUUAGUGAGGAAGAUAAUGACGAUACUCACAGAAGAAGUCCUGGCUAACUCCGUGCCAGCAGCCGCGGUAAUACGGAGAGGGCUAGCGUUAUUCGGAAUUAUUGGGCGUAAAGGGCGCGUAGGCUGGUUAAUAAGUUAAAAGUGAAAUCCCGAGGCUUAACCUUGGAAUUGCUUUUAAAACUAUUAAUCUAGAGAUUGAAAGAGGAUAGAGGAAUUCCUGAUGUAGAGGUAAAAUUCGUAAAUAUUAGGAGGAACACCAGUGGCGAAGGCGUCUAUCUGGUUCAAAUCUGACGCUGAAGCGCGAAGGCGUGGGGAGCAAAUAGGAUUAGAUACCCUGGUAGUCCACGCUGUAAACGAUGAAUGUUAAAUAUGGGAAGUUUACUUUCUGUAUUACAGCUAACGCGUUAAACAUUCCGCCUGGGGACUACGGUCGCAAGAUUAAAACUCAAAGGAAUUGACGGGGACCCGCACAAGCGGUGGAGCAUGUGGUUUAAUUCGAUGCAACGCGAAAAACCUUACCACU